UGAUUAAAUAUGACUCGACCUAAGACUCAGGUGGCUUUGCCUUAAUUUUACCUGCCGAGGAAGAAACGAACCGUUCUUCUCUAUGUCUUUCAGUCAUAGGGAUUUUUCAAUAAUCCG
rfam:Lactobacillus gastricus PS3 contig00024, whole genome shotgun sequence.